GACGAACCGUGCGAACGUUGUUCGGAAUCACUGGGCUUAAAGGGCGCGUAGGCGGGCUGCCAAGUCCGGGGUGAAAGCCCCCCGCUCAACGGGGGAACGGCCUUGGAUACUGGCGGCCUGGAGGAAGGUAGGGGCAGAUGGAACUCUCGGUGGAGCGGUGAAAUGUGUAGAGAUCGGGAGGAACACCGGUGGCGAAGGCGGUCUUCUGGACGGUGACUGACGCUGAGGCGCGAAAGCGUGGGGAGCAAACGGG
rnacentral:rRNA from 1 species